rnacentral:rRNA from 3 species
CGGAGGCCAUUGCUAUUGGGAUCCGAUUUAGCCAUGCUAGUCGCACGAGUUCAGACUCGUGGCGAAUAGCUCAGUAACACGUGGCCAAACUACCCUUCGGAACACAAUACCCUCGGGAAACUGAGGCUAAUAGUGUAUACCAUACCACCACUGGAAUGAGUGGUAUGCCAAACGCCCCGGCGCCGAAGGAUGUGGCUGCGGCCGAUUAGGUAGACGGUGGGGUAACGGCCCACCGUGCCAAUAAUCGGUAUGGGUCAUGAGAGUGAGAACCCAGAGACGGAAUCUGAGACAAGAUUCCGGGCCCU